rnacentral:rRNA from 1 species
GCAAACUGGAGAUGGCGACCGGCGCACGGGUGAGUAACACGUAUCCAACCUGCCGAUAACUCGGGGAUAGCCUUUCGAAAGAAAGAUUAAUACCCGAUGGCAUAAUAGAACCGCAUGGUUUGAUUAUUAAAGAAUUUCGGUUAUCGAUGGGGAUGCGUUCCAUUAGGCAGUUGGUGGGGUAAUGGCCCACCAAACCUUCGAUGGGUAGGGGUUCUGAGAGGAAGGUCCCCCACAUUGGAACUGAGACACGGUCCAAACUCCUACGGGAGGCAGCAUG